rnacentral:tRNA from 1 species
GAAUAAGAAGCGAAUUAUUGCAGUCAGUUUCGACCUGAAAAAUUGGUAAUAACUAAUUACCCUUAUUCU